ensembl:lncRNA
CACGCACCCCUUGCUGCGCAUGCCCUUUGUUACGCAUACACGUUCCUGAGCAUUCUGUGAGGAGCAUUGGGCCUGAGACGGAUCUGUUUAUUCAGUCCCUGUUCUUUCUCACUACUUGAGACUCACCAGGGAGAAAUAUGAGUGGGCAAGUGGCGUCAACAUUGGGACCUAGAGAUCAAGAUUCCUCCCAGCUGGAUGAACCUGUGGUCCGGCCCAGUGUUGAGCAACCUGAGCAAGAGGAACCACCAGCUGAGAUUCAGGAUAUCACACCUAGAAAGGAGGAGGUCCAUGGAGAGGAUCCAGUGAAUCGUGAUGAAGAGGAGGAGAAGGAUGCCUCCGAAGCUGAAUUGAUGCAUUUUUUAAAAAAAGAUUCUGGCCUGGAAGCUGAUCUCCAGGAAUUGUCUGUGGCAAAGACUGGGGGUGAAGGUGGAGAUGGUCCCGAUGUCAGGGAGGAGUUUGCAUCAAAUAUAGAGCCUGUUGAAAUGCCAGAAGCAGGUGAAGGGCAACCAUUUGCUUGAAAGAAGAUAAACUGAAACCAUCUAUGCUGUUCUUCUGUUGUGUAUUUGACUGUUAAAGUUCUGUCAAUAAAGUUUCGUCUUCUACUGGCACAUGUUUUGUUAAAUUUAUCCCCGGGUAUUUAAUGUUAUUGAAAAUUCAUGGUUUGUGAUUUUUAUUGUCUAGCUGAGGAUGUAUGUAGAGAUAGAAUGUCGGUAUAUGGAUUUUCUGUCCAACAAUUCCUCUAAAUAUGCAUAUUAAUUCCACAAAUUUAGAUCCAGAUUGUUUUUGCUUUUCAAAAUAUGCUAUUAGAUUUGAAUAUCAACAAUUUCUACUGGCUUAAACCUUAAACCUUUCCUCAUUUUGCAGCAUUGAACAAACCUGGCCAGAAUAGUCUUGACUAAAGCAGAUGUUAAUCGGCAUUUUCCCCAAUAGGAAAUGAAAAAUCUUCUCCAUUUCAACCUGUUUACGUUGCUUUUUUGUAGAUUUACUUUGUCAGAAGCUCAAUGUUGUGUACCCAGCAAGCGCCCAUGAGAUUCUUCAGAAGUGAAAAUGAAUUCUGCUGUCUGUCCAGCUGUCUCUCAGGUAGUCCCCAGAGCUAUAUUUCUCGAAAUAAAAUAGAACUGUCUAAGGACAGGUGCU